CCUACGGGAGGCUGCAGUGAGGAAUAUUGGUCAAUGGGCGAGAGCCUGAACCAGCCAAGUCGCGUGAAGGAUGACGGCCCUACGGGUUGUAAACUUCUUUUGUCAGGGAGCAAUUGGGUCCACGCGUGGGCUUAGCGAGAGUACCUGCAGAAAAAGCAUCGGCUAACUCCGUGCCAGCAGCCGCGGUAAUACGGAGGAUGCGAGCUUUAUCCGGAUUUAUUGGGUUUAAAGGGUGCGUAGGCGGAAUAUCAAGUCAGCGGUAAAACUUCGGGGCUCAACCCCGCCGUGCAGUUGAAACUGAUGUUCUGGAGUGGGCGAGAGGUAGGUGGAAUGCGUGGUGUAGCGGUGAAAUGCAUAGAGAUCAAGAAGAACUCCGAUUGCGAAGGCAGCAUGCCGGCGCCCAACUGACGCUGAAGCACGAAAGCGUGGGUAUCGAACAGGAUUAGAUACCCUUGUAGUC
rnacentral:rRNA from 1 species